rnacentral:lncRNA from 1 species
ACAUUUGUAACAACAUAAAUAUUUUAAAAGGCAAUAAGAAGUAACCAAACCAAAACUUUAAUAAUAACAAUUAAACUAAUUUCUUCACAUAUGGUAAGUGGUCAAGAAUAAUGUAAGUUCCACAAUCUAUAAUUUCAUCAAUAUACGGAAACAAAAUAUUUAUUGUUGUUUUCUCAUAUUGACUAUAAAUGAUCUUUAACAUUAACAAAUCAAUCACGUGUUGAUAAAUCAUAUAUAAAGUUGAGAGGAUUUUGAAUUUGGUUAUAACCUCCAUAACCCAUUUACUUAAAAUAUGGUACCACCAAAAUGAACCAUUUUCUUGUGAGAACAUUGCACCAAAACAAGAAAACAAAUGAUGCGGCACACCGAAGACAAACAAACUAGCAUUGCACUUUGACGACGAAAUGAUAGAUAAAACAAAAAACAAAUUAAAUUUUUGUUGAAAACUAUUUAUUUAAAUAAAAUGAGUGAAUCUAAACUCAAAACAUGGUCCUAAACUUCUCAUUUGAUGGAUGAAAAAGAAGUGAAAGACUAAGUUUUUUUCUCAUGGAGCUGGCACUAAGUUUUUCAAGAGAUCGAGUAGCUUUAUUUUCGUUGAUCAAAACACAAUAGUUUGUCUUCAAA